AUCUAUUGCGGAUUCUAAAUAUGCUGAGGCACAAAUGGGCGUGGUGGAUCCAAGGCACAUAAAGAUGGGUAGUAGAAAGUAUACAGAUAUAUGGGCUCUCUCACCACUCCACCAUGCACACAAGGCGUUGCAUGGAAUGUUGUCAAGAAGGUGAAUACGUUUUACAGACAGCAGCUGAGCCUCUUGAGGGCUGCAGUUCAGUUCAUGGUUAUCACAGAAAGCAGAGGCGAAAGCUAGGCCAACACAGCCCAUCAAUAAACGAAAGUUCACCUCUACACCCCAAGGCGUCUUUGAGCUGUUCUCCAUUUUUGA